AUGAACGCUAGCGACAGGCCUAACACAUGCAAGUCGAGGGCAGCACAAGGAGCAAUCUGAGGUGGCGACCGGCGCACGGGUGAGUAACACGUAUGCAACCUGCCUGUAAGCGGGGAAUAACCCGUUGAAAGACGGACUAAUACCGCAUAAUACUAAAUUACUGCAUGGUAAUUUAUUUAAACAUUUAUGGCUUACAGAUGGGCAUGCGCAUGAUUAGCUAGUUGGAGAGGUAACGGCUCCCCAAGGCAACGAUCAUUAGGGGUUCUGAGAGGAAGGUCCCCCCACACUGGUACUGAGACACGGACCAGACUCCUACGGGAGGCAGCAGUGAGGAAUAUUGGUCAAUGGACGAGAGUCUGAACCAGCCAAGUCGCGUGCAGGAAGAAUGUCCUAUGGAUUGUAAACUGCUUUUGCAGGGGAAUAAAGUGCAUCACGUGUGAUGUUUUGUAUGUACUCUGCGAAUAAGGAUCGGCUAACUCCGUGCCAGCCGCGGC
rnacentral:rRNA from 1 species